rnacentral:rRNA from 1 species
CCUACACUAAAAACGCCAGGGUAUUACGAGCCUCAGCUUAAAACCCAAAGGACUUGACGGUGUCCCACCCAACUAGAGGAGCCUGUUCUAUAAUCGAUAACCCCCGAUAUACCUAACCCCAUUUUGCAGAUCAGCCUGUAUACCUCCGUCGCAAGCUUACCAUAUGAAUGCCAACAGUAAGUCCAAUGGUCACACACCAACACGUCAGGUCAAGGUGCAGCUUAUAAUAGGGCAAGCAAUGGGCUACAAUUUCUAAUAUAGAAUAUACGGAAUGCCACCUGAAACACAACAUGAAGGCGGAUUUAGUAGUAAAAA